UACAGAGGGUGCGAGCGUUAAUCGGAAUUACUGGGCGUAAAGCGUGCGUAGACGGUUAUUUAAGUCGGGUGUGAAAGCCCCGGGCUCAACCUGGGAAUUGCAUUCGAGACUGAAUAGCUAGGGUACGGUAGAGGGAAGUGGAAUUUCCGGUGUAGCGGUGAAAUGCGUAGAUAUCGGAAGGAACAUCAGUGGCGAAAGCGACUUCCUGGACCAGUACCGACGUUCAGGCACGAAAGCGUGGGAGCAAACAGG
rnacentral:rRNA from 1 species